CAGAACUGCUUGGUUCUUCCCCCGUUGUAAGAAAAUUUGCUGUGCCAAUCAGCAAUUACUUCUGGAGGAACCAAAGCAGCACACAGACGAGCAGCAUAUGAACCCGGUCUGAAACCGUAUGCAUUCAGAAGAUACAUCCUUGCCUCUUUGGUUUCCCUUGGUAGUGUGAUUUCAGCUUCAAUCACACCCUCCUGUGGACAACGGUGCCAGUAUUCACUAUAGUGUCCCUAGAUGUGCCCUUGAGGGCCAGCUCCUGCACACCGGUGGAGCACCUCCAUCAGAUAAGGAGGCGAACAAGAGGGAAUAAGGAGCAUGGAUUGACUAACAUGGCUACCACUCUGAAACCUGUCACCAUGCAAGCAAGGCACUAGAGUUAAAGAAGGCAGCUAGUUUUACCUAUAUAAUAUACAUGGAAAACAAUGCUCUUUGGGAAUCAACUCUGGACUGUAGAACAACAAGAAGCUGCGAAACAUCAUACCCCACUCCAUCACUGUGGCGUCUAAGGGUGCUGGAACCCCCAGACAAGUGGAUCUUGACUGGCCAUCGGGUGCAAUUUGUCUGUAUACUG